rnacentral:rRNA from 1 species
UACGAAGGGGGCUAGCGUUGUUCGGAAUUACUGGGCGUAAAGCGCACGUAGGCGGGUCGUUAAGUCAGGGGUGAAAUCCUGGAGCUCAACUCCAGAACUGCCUUUGAUACUGAAGAUCUUGAGUCCGGGAGAGGUGAGUGGAACUGCGAGUGUAGAGGUGAAAUUCGUAGAUAUUCGCAAGAACACCAGUGGCGAAGGCGGCUCACUGGCCCGGUACUGACGCUGAGGCACGAAAGCGUGGGGAGCAAACAGG